UUUAAUCGACUCAUUCACUUCUAGACGAACUGGUUGGAGUAGUUCUUGAAGCAGAGGAACUUGUUGCCGGAGAUGGAGUCUUGCGGGGGGUUGCAGCGCGGAUCUCGGAGGGGGUGGCGAGGCGGCGCUCGAGGAGGCAGCGGAUCAUGAGGGAGGGGGGCUCGGCGUUGAAGGCAGCGGAUCUUGAGAUCGAUUCGCCGACGUUCUCCCCAACUCUACCACCACCUCGAGACCGGCGCCGCCAGCACCUCGAGGACAGCGCUUACGUUCUCCUCGAGCCGCGGCCACCACCUCGAGACCGACUCGGCGACGUUUUCCCCCACUCUGCCACCACCGCGAGACCAGCGCAGCCACCAUCCCGAGGCCAACGCUGACGUUCUCCCCGAGCUGCCACCCUCGUCGACAUGUUCGCUGUCCUCGUCGCUAACACCAUCUCUCCCCUACACCGCCACCAAAUUGAGACUGAAGCUGCUAUUAUCACUUCUCCCUGACGCUGCCACUGCUCUCCCCGACAUCCAUCGUGUCUCUCUACGGUGCUGCAUUGAGGAUCGAUCAAUUGUCAUCAAGUGGAGAAGAUAAGUUCGGGGUUCUAUCAGCUCAAGCGUCGGAAUCUGGUACGGCUAUUAGUGAUGAUGAGCUGUAUCACCAGGUUGUUGGACCUGAGAGGCAUGGUCGUACUCGGGGUUAUGGGUUUGGUCCAACUCCGAGUACUGUCUUUGGGACUACCCUUGGGCGCAUUGAGCUUGCAUCCCAACUUUGUGUGGCUAACACUCAAAACAUUGAGCUAAGAUCAAAGAUAGAUAACUUGGAGAAGAAAAUAGAAGAUGAUAGGAGGAAGAUAGAGGAGAGGAUGGAGAAGAAGAUGAUGGAGGAAAGAAGGAUGAUGGAGGAGAGGAUGGAAAUGGAGAGGAAGAAAAUGGAGGAAAAGAUGGAGGAGGAUCGAAGGAAGAUGGAUAUGCUACUUGCUUUCGUUGAGGAGAUGAACCGGAAAGGAAAUGCUUCAGUUGGAAAAUUAAUUGGUCUCUAUCUGAAUAUUGCAAUACAGGCACGUUAUGCUUCCCUGCUAUUGGAGAAUCAGCUAAGGUGAGGUUGAUCCUUAAGCAAGGGCACUGAAGCUGGCCCCGAGCAAUUUAGAGUUUAAGAUGAGAACCUCCUAAUCUGCUCGAGCCCUUUUGAAUUAGUUACUCAGUGCUGUAAAUGAUAGUCCCUGGAUAAGCUUUUGUACCAUGUUAAUAUUUUUGUUGAUUAAUGAGAAGCACCAACACUAAUAGAGAAAAAAAAAGGACAUGGUAAUGAAUUGGCAGUGAAUUGAAAUUGAGACUGACAAAAUUUCGUA